rnacentral:rRNA from 1 species
ACUCAAAUGAAUUGACGGGGACCCACACAAGCAGUGGAUCAUGUGGUUUAAUUCGACAAUAAACGAGGAACCUUACCCAGGCUUGACAUCUCGCGAAAGGAGUGGAAACAUUCCCGUGCCCGCAAGGGAACGCGAUGACAGGUGCUGCAUGGUUGUCGUCAGCUCGUGCCUUGAGGUGUUCGGUUAAGUCCGUUAACGAGCGCAACCCAUGUCGUUAGUUACUAUGUCUAACGAGACUGCCCGAGUUAAUCGGGAGGAAGGUGUGGAUGACGUCAAAUCAGCAUGGCCCUUAUGCCUGGGGCCACACACAUGAUACAAUGGUCGGUACAAUGAGCAGCGAAGGGGUAACCCGGAGCAAAUCUCAUCAAAGCCGAUCUCAGUCCAGAUUGAGGUCUGCAACUCGACCUCAUGAAGUUGGAAUUGCUAGUAAUCGUGAAUCAGCUAUGUCACGGUGAAUAUGUUCCUGGGUCUUGUACACACCGCCCGU